rnacentral:rRNA from 1 species
GCUCGGCAUUUAUAGGCGGCUGAACCAGGUAUUUAUAGACUGAAUACAUAGGUUUAUAAAAGCAAACCCGGGGAACUGAAACAUCUAAGUACCCGGAGGAAAGGAAAUCAAUUGAUACUCCCCUAGUAGCGGCGAGCGAACGGGGACCAGCCGAGCCUUGAGAGUGAAUUGAAUGGUCUGGAAAGGCCAACCAUAGUGGGUGACAGUCCCGUAAAUGAAGCUCAAUAGGACGUAUUAAGUAGGGCGGAACACGUGAAAUUCUGUCUGAAGAUCGGAGGACCACCUUCGAAGGCUAAGUACUCCUUACUGACCGAUAGUGAACCAGUACCGUGAGGGAAAGGUGAAAAGCACCCCGACGAGGGGAGUGAAACAGUUUCUGAAACCGGACGCCUACAAUCAGUCGGAGGCUCCUUGAGAGCUGACGGCGUACCUUUUGUAUAAUGGGUCAUCGACUUGGUCUAUCUAGCAAGCUUAAGCCGCUAGGUGUAGGCGCAGCGAAAGCGAGUCUUAAUAGGGCGAAUGAGUUAGAUGGAUCAGACCCGAAACCGAGUGAUCUAGGCAUGACCAGGAUGAAGGUAAGGUAACACUUACUGGAGGUCCGAACCCACACCUGUUGAAAAAGGUCGGGAUGAGUUGUGCCUAGGGGUGAAAGGCCAAUCAAACUCGGAGAUAGCUGGU